UACGAAGGGGGCUAGCGUUGUUCGGAAUUACUGGGCGUAAAGCGCACGUAGGCGGAUUGUUAAGUGAGGGGUGAAAUCCCGGGGCUCAACCCCGGAACUGCCUCUCAUACUGGCAAUCUCGAGUCCGGAAGAGGUGAGUGGAAUUCCGAGUGUAGAGGUGAAAUUCGUAGAUAUUCGGAGGAACACCAGUGGCGAAGGCGGCUCACUGGCCCGAAACUGACGCUGAGGUGCAAAAGCAUGGGGAGCGAACAGG
rnacentral:misc_RNA from 1 species